ACACUAGGUGCAAGGGGAAGCUGAAUAGCUAAGGUUUACUUGACAAUAAUUGCAUGGUGUGAGUCGGCUUAUUUUUUGUUUAAUUAGGUCAAAAGUUGGGAUCGGUCACCCUACCCGACCCUUACGGAAAUUGUAAUAAAAAAUUUCCGGCUUAGUUUUUUUUAAAUUAGGUCAAGAGUUGGGGUCGGACACCCUUCACCACUCUUAAAGAAAUGUUAAUAAAAAAUGUUCUACGGCAAUACUCUUUUCGACACUAGUUGAAAUGGGAAGCUAAAUAGUUUAAGGUUUACUUGACAAUAAAUCAAUCCAGGGUGUUCUUC
rnacentral:lncRNA from 1 species